UUUUUUUUUGCAUAAUUUACCUUUUAAUUAAACUGCAUUCUCUGUAUUGUAACAAAACUAACAUUGUUUAUAUGUCAGAAAAUUAGCAAACAUGAAUAAAUGGCGAAAACAAUAUAAUUAUAACAUAUAUUUUUAUUUUACUUAUUUUAGGUCUGUGAAGCCAAACUUGAUGCUGGGGAUUUAUUUUUGUCAGUGGAGUCAAAUGGUCUAGAUGAUCACAUCUGUCUUUGUCAUUUAAAUGAGGUGGACUUGCAAACUUUGCGCUCUUUUGGAUUUCAAGACAGAGCUUAUUGUUCUCUGAACUUCCUUGUUUGCUGAACGGCAGGUUGAAGCAGAAUUUGCCCGUCUUACAUCUGUUGACCUGAAAGGGUUCCUUUUUGCUGUGCUUGACCAUUAUGGAGAGGUUCGUGGAGCUGUACAAAAUCAAGAGCGGCAUAGAAGGGCUAACUAGGCUCAUAAGAUGCUUCGGAGAUGAUAGCCCUACACAAAGGAAGAGGACAGAGGACCUCAUUUU
ensembl:lncRNA